rnacentral:lncRNA from 1 species
AUGAAAACCCAUUUCUCUUAUGAUAUUCCAGCACCUUCUUCUCUUGCUUUCUUCUCCUUCCAGUGUGCCCUGAUGACCUGCAGGGCUGUGGGCAGCCAGUUAUGGCACUGGCUCAGCUCCACCAUGGCAAUCGCUGUGCCCAGGGGACAUGUCCUGGCCCCCAGAGCUCCUGGUGUCACGCUCUGCGAUGGAUUUUCACUGCUCAGGAUCGGUUACUGCUUUGCCAGCCUUGACAUGGGGCCUGCAGGUGCUGCAAUAAAUGGGAUCAGUGCCACGUUUCGUCUGGUCCCCGUCACCUGCUCAGAGACCUACCCAGAGAGCUGGACACUGCGCUGUCCCCAGGGCUCGUGUCCUGGGCCCGUACUGGGCUAUAAAGGCUGGGAAUUGGCUGGGAGAGGGGGAAAAGUCUCUACACGGCGUCAGGUGCUCCAGAAAACCCCAGUGAGAGCCGUAGAGACAGUGCUGUGCCGUGCUAACUGCAGACAGCAGCGCUGGCACCGGCACUGGGGGCACUCAGAGGCGGCAGCGAGACAGGCAGAGCGCCGUGACAGCCCGAGCACAGACACGCUGCGUCCCCGAGAGAUGGAAGGACGGGCAGGAGCUGAUGGUUUGUAAGGGAGCACCAGGAGUCCUCGUCGUGUUCGUGUUUGGAGCGUGAAUCACACGGCGAGCUCGCCGGCUGCUGCGUCUCGUGCUGCUGGGAUGUCCUCGGGCUGUCCUCACUCCUGCUCGGGAAGGGGGCAAGGAUGGGGAAGGGAUGGGGAGGCUCCGACCGCCUGUGCCACAGGUCCCUGGUGCUCAAGCACCCACUGCUGGCAGAAGCCCUGUGUUGGGCCUGCCCUUUCCCCAGAGCCUUGUUUUGGGGGCAGCAGGGGGUGGGAGGCAGGAGCUGCAGGGACUUUGCAUUGCUUCACAUCCCUGCCCACCAAUAACGAGGGGCAGUUGCUAUAGCCAAAUAAAAUGGCUUCAAAAGGAAGAGCGGACCUCUUG